GUGCUCGCUUCGGCAGCAUAUAUACUAAAAUUGGAACAAUACAAAGAAGAUUAGCAUGGCUCCUGUGCAAGGAUGACAUGCAAAUUUGUGAAGCGUUUCAUAUUUUU
ensembl:snRNA U6 U6 spliceosomal RNA